CUUUCAUUUUUGGAUUCUC
rnacentral:snRNA from 1 species